UUGGUUAUGUAAGGUACAUCAACAUACAUUGUACGUACAAAUAAUCCUCAAUACAUUUGAAAAUAAAUAGAUGUUUUGCAUUUUUGUAGUGGGUAGAUCAUUUUGACUCGGUCAUUUUAAAAGUAGCUCGCAUGCUGAAAAAGUGUGACCACCCCUGCUCUAUAGUUUAUCAGUAUCACUGCCCUGGGCUUUGACACAGUAUCAUUUCGGCCUUUUCCCGUAUCAUUCAUGGGCGGUUUCUAGGGUACAGGGCCAAUUAACACUGUAGUAUGUGAUAAAUUACAGUAAACUACAGUAUUUUCUAAAAUCUGGUGCAUGCCAAACUCGCGAGGGAAAGUUAUCCUGCCUGUGCAGCGGGGACAUGUUUGAUACCCAUGAACAGAACGUCUUGCUUGGUCUGCAUCCUUCCAAUUGUGCAUCUACAAAUAACACGGUACAUCUACGUCCAUUUUGAGUUGCUUACAGACACCAAUGUGCUCAGUGUGGAGGAAUGUGGAAGAGCCAUCACAGAAUACUUCAGAGUAAAAUUGACCAUCAAAGAUGUCCUCUGUAAUAGCGAAGGUACAGAGAUGGAACUUUGCAUUGUUCAGCUGCUCAUGGCACACUUCGGAGAGGAGCUAACAGGGCUGGUCCUUCUUGCAGAUCUGACAUUGAAACAACCUUCACUCCUCCUGCAAGCCCUCGUCUGAUACUGCUUGUUUCAGGUGGAACAGAGAAUGUCAAUAUUGGAUGCUGGAUGAUUACUCUGGAGGGGCGUGUAAUAUCUGAGGGCAUCACACCAUCCUUUUUGACCAGACUGGCUGCUGUGUUUGCAGUCUACUACAUAUUCAACCUUCAAUAUCAAGAGGAGGCAGCUUGUACUCUGGAAUGUAUUCAGAGUUGCUUCAUUGGUAUCAAGAGGAUGGAAGACAACCUGAGGAAAGCAUGUCUCCAAGAAGACUGGUAUGAUGGUCCCGAAGAAGUCUGCCACAGUGAAUACACAUGUCUCCACACUACUGAAGAACCUCAUGGACUUUGAAUGGGACUUCAUAUACGUAGGUCAGUGAAAUCUCUCUUGUCUCAUGCUCUUAACUCCAUAUGUUGUUCUGACUGACAUUGCCACAUUAAAGCAUAAAAGACUUUGAUAUGAUCAGCUUUAUAAGCAUGUCGUGUUAUUGUAUGUCUCUGACUUAUUUUGAUUAUUUUGUUUGCUGUUGUUUUGGAGCAUCGACACUGCAAGCCAUAGAGACAAACAACGGCCAGGAACGUGAUGAUCAUCUCUCCCUGACUGAAUCAUUUUUGCUUUGAAUCAGGACAAACAACCCCCCCCCCCCCAAAAAAAAAGAGUACAAUCCCAACUGAGCCAAUACAGCCAGGAAAUUCGAAUGUCCAAUAGUGUUCUCUGGCUGUAUUUUGGGACUCUGGUCAAUCAGUCACUGCCCAUCAACAUUGUAUUGAACACGAACAAGAUAAAAAAUUAUAUCAAAUGCCUCUUUUUUGUAUUUUUCUUUCAAGAAAAUACAAAUGUAUUACAAAUUUGGUCUGUUUGUAUUGUUCUUUCUAUCAAAUGAUACAUGUAGAAAAGUCCUGAUGCAACAACCGUUUUCCACAGGAUUUUUUAAACAAGGGAAUACUUCUUGUAUACACACAUGAUUACUCAAGGCUUGAACUCAAGGCCUUGAACUCAACUCUAUGCGAAGUGUGCAAUAAAGAUGCCACAACUGUUUUGAAAAGGCUUAACAAUCACACCUAUAGUCUAGUCCAGGGGUGGGCAAACUUUUUGACUGGCGGGCCGCAUUGAUUUAACAA